GUGCCAGCCGCCGCGGUAAUACCGGCAGCACGAGUGAUGGCCGAUAUUAUUGGGCCUAAAGCGUCCGUAGCUGGCCGGACAAGUCCGUUGGGAAAUCUGCGCGCUCAACGUGCAGGCGUCCAGCGGAAACUGUCUGGCUUGGGGCCGGAAGACCCGAGGGGUACGUCCGGGGUAGGAGUGAAAUCCCGUAAUCCUGGACGGACCACCGGUGGCGAAAGCGCCUCGGGAGGACGGACCCGACAGUGAGGGACGAAAGCCAGGGUCUCGAACCGGAUUAGAUACCCGAGUAGCC
rnacentral:rRNA from 1 species